rnacentral:rRNA from 1 species
AUCCUGGCUCAGAUUGAACGCUGGCGGCAGGCCUAACACAUGCAAGUCGAGCGGUAGAGAGGUGCUUGCAUCUCUUGAGAGCGGCGGACGGGUGAGUAAUGCCUAGGAAUCUGCCUGGUGUGGGGGAUAACGUUCGGAAACGGACGCUAAUACCGCAUACGUCCUACGGGAGAAAGCGGGGGAUCUUCGGACCUCGCGCCAUUAGAUGAGCCUAGGUCGGAUUAGCUAGUUGGUGAGGUAAUGGCUCACCAAGGCGACGAUCCGUAACUGGUCUGAGAGGACGACCAGCCACACUGGGACUGAGACACGGCCCAGACUCCUACGGGAGGCAGCAGUGGGAAUUUUGGACAAUGGGCGCAAGCCUGAUCCAGCAAUGCCGCGUGCAGGAUGAAGGCCUUCGGGUUGUAAACUGCUUUGUACGGAACGAAACGGUGAGCUCUAAUACAGUUUGCUAAUGACGGUACCGUAAGAAUAAGCACCGGCUAACUACGUG